ACUGCUGAAAAAAUACGAUCUCAUAUUCUUCUCCUUCUAUUCGCUCCAUAUCAUUAGGGUUUGAGUUCAAUUCGCUCGAUGGCAAAAGAAAUAUCGAACUCAGAGUUUAAUUUGAACUCGUGUUUAUUGAUUCCAGGUAUUGAUUAUCUGGGUUGAUUCUGAGUUAUGGUUAACUUUUGAUUCGUUUUUCACUUGCAUUAUGAUUUCGGUGGUUUAAUUUUGGUUAUCUUGCUUUAAAUCUUCAUUUUAUCUGUAGCAUGAAUCUAGGGUUUCAAAUUAUUUUUUUGAUUUCUGUAUUUGGGGGUUUCUGUCCGGGGUUUCAUUAUAAUAGAUUUUGUGUUUUUAGUAGUACUUCUCAAGGGUUUCGAUUAAUAUUGUAUGACUGUGAAACAUGGGUUUUGUUUCAUCUUGUAUCUUUUAGGUCUUUGAUUAAUUUAGUAUGCCGAAGAAGAAGAAUUGAGUUGUACAAAGAUAGUAAGACGAUACAGAGAAGACUGAAACGAUAGAGGAUAAUAGAGAAAGAUGGCAAUCUCGUUUUGAUCAUAAGAUAAUUGAUAGUCACAGAUGAGGGGUUUGGUUCGUAUUCAUUUUUCAGAAUAUGGAUCUUUAUUCAGGAGAAUUACGCAACUGGAGCCGAUGGAAGGCAAAACAAAAGUGCACUCUGUCAAGUGGGUAACAAAAAUUACAAGAAGGGGCUACAAGUUUGAGUCAUGGUGAUAUAGGAGUUCCAGCAAAACUACCACCUUCAAAAACCCCUUGAGUUCUGUUGACGGGAUUGCAAAAUAAAUGUUUGGUUUGAAAUAAGGACAAUAUAUUGGGAGAGGAUGAUGACAAAGAAAACGAACUAGAAGUAAUUGAUGGUGUUGGUGCCGAAACAGGGCAGUGUAGAAAAACUACAGUUGGUGGCCGAAACAGUUAAUUGGAUCAGGUGAAGACUGAAACAACUAGUUAACCUCUAAAAAGAACUUUUGAUGUUUCUAAUUUUUUGUUGUGCGACUACGGUAACUAUUAACUAGUGGAUUUCUUCGGUUAUCUCUAAUUUGUCUAACAUAUAUAACUUGUUAAUUAACUCCAAAAAAGAACUUUUGUCUGAACACACUACUUUAUUAUUCAAAUCUAGAGGUUGAGCAUUCUCGGCUUUCAGGUGGACAUUCUAAAGCAACGAAAAUUAAUUUGAUAAAGACCAUUAAUCUGAUUAAGUUGAAGCAUUUAGGUCUUGCUUACCAUAGAUUUAUAAUGAAAUUUUGGGCUUCAACCUUGUUGUUAAGGCGACUUCCUGGCACAAUACUUGGGAGGGUAUUGCAAAGGAAAAACUUGGGGAUAUACUAAGGUUGGGGAUGUUCCGGUUACUUGCACAAAACUCUUGUGCUAAGCCUGGAUGACAAACGAUUCAAAUAAUCUAGUUGUACAUAACCGAUGCUUAAAUAUGUUAGCAGAACAACAUUCAUUGGUCAGGAUUGGAGGCGUAUGCAAGACACAAAAGUAACUAUUAAUGUCAACUUAUAAGAAUUUCAUUCUAUUUUUGUGAACUGUUUUUUUUUUCCUUUUCUUUUUAUUUCUCUUUACAAAGUAGGUAGAUUAGGUAGUACAAAACUUUGUUAGUCGGAGCUUGUAUUAAGAAUCGUUUGAGAUAAUAUGAAUUUGAUUUAUGAACAAUCG